UAAGUCUACACCAACACCCACUCAAGAGUCCACCACUGGAAAAAAGAGGGGUAGAGGUCAUUAUGAAAGAACAAGCACCAGUAAGACUGGUACAAGAAGAGGUGCAGGAAGUGGUUACAAGAAGAGGCCUAAAGUUGUUGGACAAGGUGUAUUUGUUGCUGAUACUGGAUAUACGUGUAUUAAUCAAGGAUUGUCUAGCAGAAGGAGGGUUAAUACUGGUGUGGUGAGUU